UGAUAAUUUUCAGUUUGUGAAUUUUACUGCUAUCAUGAAAAAAAAUACAAGUGAUUCGGGAAAAGAAGCUGCUUUUGCUCUUGCUGCACUCAUGGAGAUCCCUAUCCAAUAUAAAGCAGCUAGAGAACUUGGUCUGCUUGGAAAAAGGACAGGUAAGGCGAAGAAGGUAGUUCCAAAGCCGCCACCAGUCCCUUACAGUCGCCGUAUGGCAACCCCAACUCGACAUCAAAGCAGUUUUUCAGGAUCGCCGCAAAAUGAACAGAAUCAAGCUUGCCCAGUUUGUCUAACUGGUACUAAAGAUAUGGCUUUUGGUUGUGGACAUAUGACCUGCAGAGAAUGUGGUCCAAGAGUGUCGGAUUGUCCAAUUUGUCGUAGACGAAUAAGUAGUCGUAUCCGGUUAUACACUUAAAAUUGAUACUUAAAUGACGGGUGUAUGUAAAUAUAUGUUGUAUAUUUCUCGAGUUUAACUUUGCUUAAAAA
rnacentral:misc_RNA from 1 species